rnacentral:tRNA from 1 species
GGGAUUAUAGUUAAUAAUAACAUUUAGUUUGCAUCUAAAAAGUAUUGAAUGAUCAAUUAUUCUCA